UCGAGAAAUUCUUGUGUUAUGGCAUUCACUGAGAAGGCGUAGGCUAAAAAUAUUGUUGUUGUUGUAUUUUCUUAUGAUGAUAUUGAUGAUGUUGAUUAGGAGGCGUAGACGUAGACUAUAUAGAGAGCCUUGUUGGUAUGAUCCAAUUAUUUGAUCAAAACAUUUGAUUAAUAUGAUAGAUAGAAAUGAUACUUUAUGCAUUGAACAACUGAGGAUGGAUAGACAUUGUUUUAGAGUUUUGUGCUCGUUAGUACGAGAAUAUGAUGGAUUGAGGGACACUAAGAAUAUGAGUGUGGAGGAAUUGGUUGCAAUCUUCCUACAUAUCAUUGCAUAUGACGAGAAUAACCGAGAAAUCAAGUUUGACUUUCAGCGAUCACAAGAGACAAUUAGUAGACACUUUCAUAAUGUUUUGAGAGCAGUUUUAAAGCUUUUUGGAGAGUCUUACUAAAGAAACCUCAACCAAUCCCCGAGGAUUGUACAGAAGAGAGAUGGAAAUGGUUCAAGAAUUGCAUUGGUGCUUUAGACGGGACUUACGUUAAAGUAAAUGUGCGCGCCACUGAUAAAUCACGAUACCGAUCUAGAAAGAACGACAUUUCAACAAAUGUUUUGGGUGUAUGCGCACCAGACAUGCAAUUUAUUUAUGUAUUAGCCGGUUGGGAAGGCUCAGCUGCAGAUGGUAGAAUACUUCGAGAUGCACUAUCAAGACCAAAUGGGCUUAAGGUUCCUCGUGGUUGUUAUUAUCUUGUUGAUGCUGGUUACAAAAACUGUGAGGGAUUCCUAGCUCCAUACAGAGGGCAACGUUAUCAUUUGCAAGAAUGGACUAAUCCACCAACAAAGAAGGAGGAAUUAUUUAACAUGAAGCAUGCAUCCGCAAGGAA